rnacentral:lncRNA from 13 species
ACUAAAGUGGUCCUCAAGUCAGUCUAGGGUCUGAAGCAUUGAGGACACUCGGGAGGAGUCGUCAGAGGGUCUCAGAGGAAUCUAGCUCAGAAGGAGAGGUUGAGGCAAUCAAGAUGGUUCAUCUCUAUAAAGAGAAGGCUGAGGGGAUACCAAAUGUCUUUCUUUAAAUACCUGAAAUUGUUCUUGAGAGCGACUGGUGAAUAUGCCACUUAAAACCUUGGAUCAAGGACUUUUCUCAGGCACGAGGAAGCACUCCCUCCUCCGGACGGAUGCAAGCACUGGCAUGGAGCCCGCAGGGGACCUGGCUGCCUCUAAGACGUGGUGAGUACGGGGACAGGCCCCAGCUCUGCUGGCUGACCAGGCACAGCCCUACCAUGGAGUGGGUGGACGAGAUGGCCUCCCAUCGGGGCCUGGGAAUCACCUCCUCUGCUGGCCCAGCAGGUUCUCUCCCAUGCUGCUGCUGUGAAAAGAACUACGUACAGACCUAAGAAGCUUAGCAAUAACUUAGUAGGAUAAAUACAAAGAAAACCUGUGCCUAUGCAGAUUACGUGAAAAACCGAAGAUGAAGAUCAAAUCUCGGAAAGCAUAAGCAAAUAAACCUAAAGAGGGCUGGCA